GACGAACGCUGGCGGCGUGCUUAACACAUGCAAGUCGAACGGAAAGGCCCCUUUGGGGGUCCUCGAGUGGCGAACGGGUGCGUAACACGUGAGUAACCUUCCCUUGACUUCGGGAUAACUUCAGGAAACUGGGGCUAAUACCGGAUAGGAAUCCUUUCUGCAUGGUGGGGGUUGGAAAGCUUCGGCGGUUUUGGAUGGACUCGCGGCUUAUCAGCUUGUUGGUGGGGUAGUGGCUUACCAAGGCUUUGACGGGUAGCCGGCCUGAGAGGGCGACCGGCCACAUUGGGACUGAGAUACGGCCCAGACUCCUACGGGAGGCAGAAGUGGGGAAUAUUGCACAAGGGGCGGAAGCCUGAUGCAGCAACGCCGCGUGCGGGAUGACGGCCUUCGGGUUGUAAAACGCUUUCAGCAGGGGCGAAGCUUGUGGUGACGGUACCUGCAGAAGAAGCACCGGCUAACUACGUG
rnacentral:rRNA from 1 species